rnacentral:rRNA from 1 species
UACCAGCACCCCGAAUGGUCGGGACGUUUAUUGGGCCUAAAGCAUCCGUAGCCGGUUCUACAAGUCUUCCGUUAAAUCCACCUGCUUAACAGAUGGGCUGCGGAAGAUACUACAGAGCUAGGAGGCGGGAGAGGCAAGCGGUACUCGAUGGGUAGGGGUAAAAUCCGUUGAUCCAUUGAAGACCACCAGUGGCGAAGGCGGCUUGCCAGAACGCGCUCGACGGUGAGGGAUGAAAGCUGGGGGAGCAAACCGG